rnacentral:ncRNA from 1 species
GCAGAGUAGAUAAGCAGCGUUAAGUGUCGCAAAAUGGGAUGUUGUUUGCGAACGAAGGCGUAACCGCCGCGGUUGCUUGUCGCGUCCGUUG